UACACCCGAACCUUGCUUUGAUGA
rnacentral:siRNA from 1 species